rnacentral:rRNA from 1 species
AGUCUGCAACCCGACUCCACGAAGUUGGAUUCGCUAGUAAUCGCGCAUCAGCCAUGGCGCGGUGAAUACGUUCCCGGGCCUUGUACACACCGCCCGUCAAGCCAUGGGAGCCGGGGGCGCCUGAAGUCCGGGACCGCGAGGACCGGCCUAAGGCGAAACUGGUGACUGGGGCUAAGUCGUAACAAGGUAAC